rnacentral:lncRNA from 1 species
UUGGUAUCUAUCAUUGAUCACUCUUUUUUUUUUCUUUCAGGAAAAUUCUCUCAGAUGACACACUGCAAGGAUCAAGGUCUAUUGCUUAAUUCAAAUUAUAUUUUACCCAGUAGUUUCAAAAGGGAAGGAUUCAGAAAUCCGAUAGCUAUUUUUUUUUUUUUUUCUUUUAAAGUAAUUAGCAUUGUGGUUCACUGUCAGCUAGCCACGACUGAGUUUGGAACAAGGCAGUUACAUACACAGGCAACAGUGAACCCCCCCCACCCCCACCCCCACCCAGAAACAGAAAAAAAAAGUCACUUUAAUUUCUUAAGACACAUCUGCUGAAAUGUCUUUUUCCAAAAGAACAAAAAAAGGUUUAUACAGCUUGAAGGCCCCAAACGAACUGAAACUGAGAUGGAAAUGUACAGUUCAGGGCCCCAUUUUUUUACAAACAAACAGUUAAUACAGCAUACACAAAAGGCACUCCAGCUAGAUAAUAUCAGCUAAGAAGUGCAUUUUUAAUUUGUGUUUUUGUCAAACUUUUAUAAAAAAAAAAAAAGAAUAUAAAAUGCUAUUACAUUUUUGGUAUUCAAAAAAGUACCAGGGAUUACUCAUGAUCUGUAUGCCAUUAGCACACCAUAAUCCCCAAUGCUGUUAAAGUUCUUGCUUGUUAUAAAGGAUUCUUUCAAUGACAGCAACAAGAUUAUCACAAAUAAUCAGCAUGAGGUGACAAAUAUAUCUGAUGAAUAUCCUCAACCCUUUCGAACCCAACCCCACCUCAAACACACAAGAAUCAUCAAAGUGCCUCCAAACAGAAGUGCUCUACAACAAAACGACACACAUUGGAAUUUAAGAUGUGAAGUUGCCACAGUGUACUCUACAUAUAUCUAUGUAUAUAUUGGCACAUGAGACCUUAAGGGGAAUUCAACACAACCAGCAGCAGAGAGGUAAGAUAAGCAGGUCCCAUUUACUGUAUAAAUGAACUGAUGGCUCUGCAGCAGACCCAAACUAGCCACCCUCCUAAAUGUAUUGCCCCACUGUAAAAUAUCCUCUUGCGUUUCUUUAAUGUACACUUUGUAAGCUGCAUACACAUCACUGAAUGCGUAAAACCACUUACAAAUGAUAAAUCUUCAAAACGACCAACUUUCAAUAAACAUAAAUUUAGUUCAUCUUGUCGUGCCCUGAGAUUGUAUUGAAAUGAGAUUUAUCAAAUCCAGCAGAAUUAACACACAGACCUCCAAAAAAAUUAAAUUGGCUUGAAAUUUACAAAUGUACACUUUGUAAGCUGCAUACACAUCACUGAAUGCGUAAAACCACUUACAAAUGAUAAAUCUUCAAAAACGACCAACUUUCAAUAAACAUAAAUUUAGUUCAUCUUGUCGUGCCCUGAGAUUGUAUUGAAAUGAGAUUUAUCAAAUCCAGCAGAAUUAACACACAGACCUCCAAAAAAUUAAAUUGGCUUGAAAUUUACAAGGAUGGCAAUGGCCUUGAGUAUGUAAGAAAGUAUUAUGGGAGGACUGUGAGAUACUUCCACAGAUUGGCACAGGGCGGACAUUACGUGCCCAUCUUCUCUAACUUUGCAUAGUGACAGCAUACCGUGUGCUGUAGUUAAAGAGCCAGUGGCAGAAAGAGUCUGUCCAUAGAAACGCUGCUCGGACAGGGCUUUUCAAGUACGGGCGGCUUGUCUCGACAACAGGGUUGGCUUCACCGAGGGGUUGGCUUCACCGAGGCCACACAAGAGAAAGAAGAUGUUAGCAGCUGAGUCAGAGGUGGGACACCCAGGGUGAGGUGCAUCAACAGAAGAGGCCCUAAUCUAAAUGACCUAAGAACACUGUUAACAGCAACUAAAACAAAACAAAUACGGCCCACACCAUAGAUCUUCAUUUGCAUUCGUUAUACAGGACAGGUAUACAGAGGCACCUGCACUGCAGGCAGUUCAAGACCACUGCAUGAAGACCAAGAGAAUGUGAAAAAAAGACAUGUUUCACAACACUGGCAAUUCCAUUCCAUCUCAAACUCCAGCGAAAAAGAUCAUGCAAUGACCAUGAGUAGGUGAGGACGAAUGAGAGGUGUGAUGUUAUCCAGAGAAGGAACGGUGGACAUUCGAAGAUCCGUACCUAAGUUACGACAACAAGGACGCAAAUGAUAAAUGACGACGCCAAUGUCCAUAUCAUGACGUCAUUACUGUCCUUUCUUGCAUUCCAUUGUACUAGGUGCACGGAGAAAGUUUUGAUGGAGAAUCAAACGUCCUCCUAUGAGUUUCCACAUUCACCUUUUCAACCUUUUUCUAAUCGAGGUGCCUCCUCCAGACAGAUAAAGACAUUUGACUAUUUCAUUUGAGUAACAAUGACAUUCACUUUGAUAGAAAGGGGGAAAAAGUACAGACACAAAAAACAUACAUUGCAAGUUUUGGAUGAUUGUAGAGUUUGUUCUUCCCUUCAUUGUGAUUUUUUUUCUGCACUCAAGUUUCUGGACCAGAGAUGGACGACAAACAAAUUACGUUUUUUUUUUUGAAUACCAGUAAGGUACAAAAACAAAGGAAAAAAGUUCAAAGUUGCCAUAAGAAGUUUUUUCUACUAAGUUAGUUUUUUUUUUUUUUUACUAUACACUCCAUUAUCUGAUUUAUUGGCUUCACAGAAGGAGCAUAACUCUUGUAAUAAGUGCUAUGAUAAUACCCCUUUAAGAAGAGACAUAGAAAACGUAGAUGUCUUUUAUGUUUGUACCAAAUGCAAAGGUCUCUUUUUCUGUACUGCAUUAAGAGAAACCCAUUGUAUUUGGUAUUGUGCCUGACUCCCGUGCCAUGUGUCUCCGCUCUGGAUUCCGUUUCUGUUUGGUGAAGAAGUGGCUGGGAGACUGUGUGAUCCCACACAUGCCGAGUUUAAAACUGCAUGGAGUGAUGUCAAACACAAUUAACAGUUCCUCCUUUCCACGCAAAUACCAACCAGCCAGCAAGCCAGACAGACAGAGGCAAGGUGGGAAAAUUAGUUCAAAGGUUAAAUUCUUCAAAAAUCUUCUCGAAACAAAAAAAAGGAGUCUUAAGUUUCAGUAAGCUUCAGUGUGGACGGAAGAAAGGGUCUCUGGCUUCUAUUGCACAAUGCAUCAGAAUGAGUUUCUUGUCUCGGUUGUAUCUCAAUAGAAAUGGCCAACCAGAUACUUCACAUAGUAACUGAAUAACUUCUGAUUGAUUCAGCAUUGAAGUCCAUUAGGUAUAAUUAAAAAGCCUCCACUGAGAGUGUUUUUAACAGUGGUUAUGUACUCGUACACAGAUGCUUGGUCAAGGUCCAGCAGACACACUGACAUUCAUUCAAUCUACAUCAAAGCUUAACAUUCAGCUUAUUUUUUUUUAACUAAACAUACAUAUUUAAUUUUUGUAAAAACAAACUGGCGUGAGUAAAUAGAAAUCAUAGAGCAGUGCAGCUCCCUUUUGUAAAACUAAAAGAAUUAAAGAAAAAAAGAUCAUUGGUGAUUAGUCAUGCUGACAGGCCACUGCUAGGAGUGUUCUUCUCAUUUGCUCUGGCCUAUUCGCUGGCUCAGAAACAGAACUGUGCAAGAUACAUUUUUUUUUUUUUUUUUUUUUUUUUAUAAAAUAAACGUUUUAAGGAGGACCUGGAGAGAGAGCACUUACGGCUAAUAUAAGUUCUGAAGAAACUAUGCAAAAUUUAAAACCAAAAAGUACCAGGAUCAUUCCAAUCAUCAGAACAGUGUGGUUAUAGGGAAAGGUGUCAUGAGGUCUCACUGUGCCUGGGUCGCCUUCAGAUGGCUGCCUCGUUGAUGGCUUCUCCUGAACAACACUUCUGAGAAAAAAAAAAAACACCUUUUAGGAAGAAAAAAAAAAAAAAAGACAUUAACAGGCUUCUGCUUCUACUGACUCUUGCUUCUCAAGGUCUUUGAACACUAAGAACAAGAUCCACGAACACAACAGAGAGUCUGACGUAAAAAACAGAGGACAAAUAAACAGCAGUGGGAGGUUUGCAGCUUUGCUUCACCCUAAACCUCCAUUACAGCUCCACAAAAAAUGAUUAUCGCCACAUUGAUUUGCUUGGGUUUUGAUCCAUUAGGUCUUUUGACUUUGUUGG